rnacentral:antisense_RNA from 1 species
UGUUAUGGCGGCUGUGCGCGGGAGGCCUUCGGGCCUGCCGGGUUCCUAUUGUCCCGGUUUAUCAGCCUGCGCACAGCUGCCACCCUU